ACUAUUGGCUCCGUUCAAAAGCUACUUCUCACAGAUUGAUUAUGCAUAAUGCGAUGUUUUGAGGUUAUAGUGACCUACAGAAAUUACAUAUGAUAGUUAUUUUUCCCACGUGCCGUAAGAGGACACAGUGCUCAGUAAACGAUACGACUGACGUUGCGCUGUCACAUGUGCGAUACAUAGAUUCUUACUAGAAAUCUCCAUCACGAGUUAGACUCGUUAACGGACUAGACUAGUCACGUGAUUUUACGGAUUCAGCAGGACGGUAUCUUCUGUACAGAUUUCAUUACAUAAAUGGUAUUAUCUAGAGAUGUAUAGCUGCUUGAUAAAUACGAGAUGGAGCCACCGGCGUUUUCUAUUAGGAAUUUAAAAGGUCUGUAAUACUAUACUUGCGGACGCAUGCGCACUAACUUCAGUCUCUUUCCACCAAUCAGGUGCUCUCUAUGCACCACCUUUAUUUGAACACACUUCAUCGCCAGCUUCGGGAAGUUUGAUGGACUUCUUCAAUCAGUGUGAAAAUUAAUGAGAAAAAUUUGUAUUUCUCACCGAUUAAACGAGUAACGAAGUAACGGAGAAUUGAAAAGAAAGGAGUAAGCUGUUACAAAUUAGGUAUGUCCCGUGUAGAUAUAUAUUCUAACGUAGAUAUCACAUUCAUAUUUACAAAUAACAUGAGUAACAAAUAUUUGAAGUAUGUACAAAAUAAUUUUAGUGUAUCAUAAGAUACACACGUGAAGUAAAAGCUUUGUGCCGAUUCCAUGUCCAUCGAAAUCGGUUCUAUCUUCCAUUUUUAAUAAAAGCUUUUCGUAUACAAUAAAUAAUACCAAACCGAA